UACAGAGGGUGCGAGCGUUAAUCGGAAUUACUGGGCGUAAAGCGCGCGUAGGCGGCUUUGCAAGUCGGGUGUGAAAUCCCCAGGCUUAACCUGGGAACUGCAUUCGAGACUGCAUUGCUAGAGUAUGGGAGAGGGAAGUGGAAUUUCCGGUGUAGCGGUGAAAUGCGUAGAUAUCGGAAGGAACAUCAGUGGCGAAAGCGACUUCCUGGACCAAUACUGACGCUCAUGUGCGAAAGCGUGGGGAGCAUACAGG
rnacentral:rRNA from 1 species